AAUGGAGGAAGCCAGCAGCCAAUGAGCAGCGCCUCCAGGGGCGGGAGCAGAGAGACAAGGAAAUGCUGUCACCGCCGUUAACAAGCACGUGGAGGUUUGUUAAAGGUAGUGGGAGGCAUAAUUCUUAGUCAAUGAGAGACAGCAGUAGCCAAUCCAGAAUACCAGGGACAGGUGCGGUGCCGGCAAACUGACUUCAGGCUGUGGAUGUACGGCUGAGAGAGAAGUAGGAAACCCUGACAGUGCUCAUGCUGGCUUUGAUCCGGCUGGAGCAGCCUGUGGUGGAAAUGGCUCUAUAUAGCCUUGGUGUCUACCAGCAUCUGGAGUGGGAGCCACAAGAGCCAUGUAGACAGGCACCUAGCACUGUGCCAGCAACGUGGGGCUGACUGGCUCUGGGGAAGAGCUGUUGGCAGUGCUGGCGACAAGGAUAGAGUGUGAGGCCUGGUGACAGGAUGGCAGCGCAGAAGCCUCAGCGCUCAGGAGCUGCGGUCCUGGCUGCUCUGAGGGCUCUGCCACUGUAACUGUCACCAACAAUAGGACAAACAGAACUCUUGAACUGCUUUGGCACAGCGCACACCCUUCUGUGAGCACGCUCAUGGGAAUGUCACAUAAACUCAAGGACAUUUUGUGAAACAACUGCCUGUGGCCUUCGAAAGCAGCAAGGCCAUGACUGUCAAGGUAAAAAGUGCCGAUCCUCGAAGCCCUGGGUUAAACUCCAGCUUCAUGGUGGUGGGGGUGUGAGGAACUAUUCCUGAAAGAGAGAUUGACCAGAGACGUGUGACUACUGUACAUGAGGUGGACAGAGCCCAUGGGCAGUGCUGGAAUUACUAAGCAAAGCAUGCAGGAAACCUGAGUGGUGCCUCCCCAUUGGACACCAGCAUUUCACUAGUGAGUUUCAGGCUUGAUGGAUGCGAUGUGUACAGGGACUGUGCUUGUGUGGGAGAAUUAAAGCACUUGGAAGUGGGAGGACGACCAUGGUGGCAGUUUAUGCUUAAAUGAUCCAGGAAAAAAAAAUCCUUUGUAAAACUGUGAUUUUAAUUGGGGAUAUUUUUAAUUCCUGGUUACUGAAGACUGCUUUUAGUUAAGUGACAACAUAUAAACCUGCCAUCCCUCAAUACAUACAGAGGCCUCAUAUCUUCCCCAAUCUGUAGCAUGUUGCCAUGUACUCAUUCUUUCUGAGGUAGUAAACAGGCUCACUAACCGGGGGGCGGGGGGGGGGGCGGGAGGAGAGGACCUGUCCGUUUCUGUCUUCCCUUUUGCUAAGCUCUGACAGCCUGAGUCAGGUGGGGGGUCGCUCUCCUUGGGUGGGUGCUGGGUGCUAGGCACUGCUUGAUUUUUAUUACCAUGCUGUGUGGAUGUGUUGUCUACAUGUCUGUUAUCACAUGUGUGCAGAUGGAGACCACAAGAGGACGCUGAGUCCUCUGGGAGUGGAGUUACAGCUGGUUGACAACCAACAUGUGAGUGCUGGGAAUCAAACUUGGAGCCUCUGGAAAAAGCAGCCAGUUUCUGAACCAUGACCCAGCUCUCCAGCCCCAUGAUGAACAUUGCUCAAGUCUGCUAAAAUCACUGGGCCUGGUAACACACAUGUCAGUCCUGCCUCAGCCUUCUGAAUAUGGCUACAGGAGGAGUCUAGACUGAAGGGGAAAACGCAUACUCACAUGCCCACGUGCACACACAAUGAAUGAAGCACAAGAAACCAUCUCUCAGGGAGAAGCAGAGGUGGAGAGAAGCAAGGAUAGAGCUCACUUGUAAUCCCAGCACUGAGGCUGCAGCAGGAGGAUUCCAAGUUUGAAGCCAGCUUUGGCUGUGCAGUGAGAGGGAACUAUGUCUACUUGGCCUAAGACCUGAAGAGAUCUCAGGGCAGAAGCCAUUUCCUGCCACCCCAAAUGAUGGUGACUCCAGCUUCCCAUCAGAUCUGCUGCUGAUCUGCCUCUGUUUCAAAAGCAAGCCAAAGGGGUCCCUGAAAGAUAAAGGGUAAAGAGAAACAGACAGGCUGGCCAGGAAGCAACACAGUGCCUUCAGUGGUCACCAGGCUCCAAGCCCGUGAAAUGCUGCAGAGCAAGGGAGAUCCUGCAGAGGCUGCCAACUGUGAAACCAGAGGACAGACGGCUCUUGCAAAGUGGACACGUAGAUUCUAGGACAUCACAGACACAGAUCUCUGCAGAAUCACUGUAGCCAUGAAGGGACAGCUGCAAAUAAAAGUAUGCAGUUGCAAAAACCAGUCCUGUAGGCACAGCCAGUUGCUUUUAAAGGUUCUAGAUGGAGUCAUCGGCAAAAAGCAGGCACCAUGCAUUUUGUUUCAACUGACACUGAAAUGCUCAUAGUAUUUUUGUGAACAAGAAAGAGGAAAUGAAGGCUGGGUGAUCAUCUUACUUGGGGCUAAGGGUGGUGGGUAUAAGCCAAGGUACCUCCAAGUCAGCCUGGGCUCAGGACCAGGGACCACAGGCAUCCUGGGUCUUUUUACUGACAUGUUUUCCUUCUGGUAAUUGUCAUCUUAUUUUAAUUAUUUACUUACUGAGUAUCACAUUAGUCUAGCCUCUGACUGCUGGAAUUUAAAGCAUGCAUGUUUAGUUAACAAAAACUAUUUAAGAAAAACUAAAAAAUUCAAUUAUAGGUAAGAAAAAUAACGUUCCUCAUAUAGUAUUCCCCACACUGGGCUAUAUUUGGAGACUUGGGCCCACUCUUAGGGGUAUUUCCAGUGAGAGACUUUCAAGCUUCUGACCAUGGUACUUACUCUGUAAGUCCAAAGAACAAAACCAUGCCACCUGUGUGGAUGUUCAAGAAGCCAGGUUUCUGUUUAACUCAAAGAUACCUUUGCAUGCCUCUGGAGGUGAUGUUUCCCUUUCUCUAAAAUUGUUUAACCAGAGACAAGGUGUAUAUUCUGUUGGAGUUGGGACAGAGAAGUGGGGUAAAAAGUUGGACUAAACUUUCUUUCAAAUGUUAUCCUUCUGAGAUGCAAGGGAGAUCAGGUGAGAGGGACCCUGCCUAGCAUGUACAAGGGCCUUGGUUACAUACCUAGCACGUAAAACAGAACAAACAAACUAAGCAUUUUCAGACCAUGUUGUGCUGAUAAAAGCAUAGGACAAGUUAGCUGCUGGCAGGGCCAGGAAGGCAGGCAGUCGGUCUCCUAGGAGGCUCUCAAGAUUCGUUUACUUAACAAAGCUUGGUGAAUGAUGAUGCCCUUCCUGCAUUAUGAAACACAGAGGCAUGCAGUGGAGCAGAGUAAAAGGAAGUGUAGCAAAGACAGACCAGGACUUCCUCACCGGCUUCCUAAUCACCUCUCUCCCUCUGUAGCCCUGGAUCAAUCAGUUUGGAAACCUGGUUGGGCUCAGAGUUCUCAACCUGUGGGUCAUGACCCCUCUGAAGGGGUGUCAAUUGGCCCUUUCAUAGGAGCCUCACACCAGAUAUUCUGCAUAUCAGAUAUGUGCAUUAUAAUCCAUAAUAGCAAAAUUACAGUUAUGAAGUGGCAACAAAAUAAUUUUAUGGUUAGCAAUCCCCACACUUAGGAACCAUGUCAACUGGUCACAGAACUAGGAAGGUUGAGAGCCACUGGGUCAGAGGGGAACUGCUCUCCCGCUGAGGCUGCGGGCUGCUGCUCCCGGCUGCAUGCCUCAUCUUAGUUGCAUUUUCCUCCCCAGCUGGCUCUCAAAAUACUUCUUUAGUCUAAAACCACUAUGGGUGUCUCCUACUGUCACUGAGAGCUUUGUGUGGUCCCUGGGCAAUCAAAUGGGAGAAACAUUUCCCUGCCACUGCAGAAUUGUAUUCUGGAAAGAGAAAGAGAAGGAAAGAGAGAAGUACUUCUGGUUGGUGUGUAAGUGGAUGUGGUUAAGGAGAGACACACCCGCAGAUUCUCCGAGCAGCCUCUCUUCGUCUGGAACCCUGUGUUUAGAAUUUGUAAUGUGGGGGUUGGGGAUUUAGCUCAGUGGUAGAGCGCUUGCCUAGCAAAUGCAAGGCCCUGGGUUCGGUCCCCAGCUCUGAAAAAAAGAAAAAGAAAAAGGAAAAAAAAAAAAAAAAAAGAAUUUGUAAUGUGGAUGCAAGUCAUGCUUGACCCUUCCUCCACACCACUGAAAGCACCGAGUGGAACAGAAAGCCGCAGAGGGGCUCACAUGUAAUUCUGCAAUUGCUUCACACCACUUCCACUACACUACACAGUUUUCUUUCUGUGUGAGGGCCGGACCCAGGGUCUCACAUAUGUACGGCAAAUGCUAUAUAUAUAUGUGAACUAUUUCCAGCUCAUCCAACAUUUUUUAAUAAUCCCACGGUAUGUGGUCGCUGAAACCUACAAUUUAGCAAUAUAGGUAAUAAGAAUUACUGUAUAUUUCUCCUUUUUUACAUUUAUUUAUUUUGUGUGUGUUUGAACACAUAUGAAAGUUACAGAACAAUUUGGAACCAGUUCUUUCCACCACGUGGGUUCUCCAGGUACUGAACCCUGGUUAUCAAGUUCGGCAGCAAUCACCUUAUCCUCCACUGAACCAUAUCUCACACCCUUACCAAAUAUUCUUGAAAGAAAAAGCAUGCACGUCUCUCAGCUGUAGAAUCUGGAUCUUAUUAUUAAUUCAUUUCCGCUAACACUCCCUAAGUCUCCAGGCUGAAGGCUGGCAGUCAUCUUUGAUACAAGCAAAAUGACCAGCACAUCUCGGCCCCAAGAAGUCCUGAGGGGCUGAAUAAGGUGGCAAGGAGGAAGGAGUAUCAGGUAACUGAGGGACUCGACAGAACCCAAAGCUGACAGAAAAGCACCUAAUUCCCAGACUCCUCAUAGCAUCUGCCUCCCUCAUAUCCCUCUAGUACAGCCUUCGCCCCCUGCUGUCCUCUCCAAACCUCCCUCCACUCUGCGGGCUGCUUCUACCAGGUCACCAGACCUCGCUCAUGGCUGCCCCCCUGCCAAUUCACUCCAUCACUAAAAUACUGACAUUCUUCAACAAGUGUCCCUUCUCACCCAAGAUCUCUUUCCUUAGGGGACUGUGUCUGUUCACAUGGCUUCAGACAGCUUCCACGGGUUCAUUCCCAGGUCUGUGUUCAGCCCAGCCCUCAGUGGCCCUUCCCUGGGUCGGCCAGACACUCCCAACCCAGAGCACUCCCUCCUGACCGGUUUGUUCUUCCCUCCCAGCCUCCAUGGCCCUCCCUUUGGAUCCCAGGAGCUUAUCUCUGCUGCCCUUCCCUUGCUUACGGCUCUUCUGUCCUUUCUAGCUGAUGCUUGGACCUUUAGGCCAGUUUUCAUUUUCCUCCCUAGCAAAAUUUAUUGACAGCCAUUUUGUAACAGGUAUAUCAUGUCUUUGGGAUCCUUUCUGGACUGAGAUGAAGUCAGGACUUUGCUAGCAUCCAGCACCCAUUACAGUGAGAGCAGGCCUAAGGUAUGGAUGGGGUAAGGACCUGCUCUUCUGAGUAAGCUGUGCUGGUCUUCACUGAACUGCUGAUACCAGCUCUGGUUCCUGGUACAGUUCUGGGAGAGGAGGAAGAAUAGUCUUUGGAAUGUGUGGUUGUAAUGUCAGCAGGACCCUGAGCAUUACCCUCCUGGUGGACAGUUGGGGCCUCGUCAUUCUUGGUACCAGUUUCUCUCCUUUCUGUUCGCUAAUCCAUGGCAUGGUCCUUGCUUAAAUGACCUCUCAGCUCAGGCAGAACUCCCACCCUCAGCCUCCAGGGCAGCUUUCAACCUCUGGCCCACUCUAUCCAGUCAGGUCACUUUGGGAAGACUAAACUCGGAGCCCUACCCAGCCUCUCCCCUGACUACACCUCCCCCUUAGUUUGCGGAAGCUCCACUGAUAAGCUGAGAGGAACCAAGCACCCAGCCUCCUCCCUCCUUGUCUGCCAUUCUCUCUCCUGAGCCUGAAGCCAGCACUGUCCCUUUGGCCAUUUAGAAUCCCUAAAGGUUGUUUCUCACUUACUCUCCAGAAGCAGAUGACCUUGUUGGGUGCCAGUGCGCACUCCUGUGGCACCCUUGGCAAAGCUGGCCUCACCAUAGAGUAGGGAGCUUAGGUGGCUCUAUGCUGGAGGGGUGGGUGGGCUUUCUCUGGCCGACAUUAACAGGAAGGACCCUGAGCCCUGGUUAUCAGGCUGUCCUAGGAUGGACUGGCUCAAAGUCCACACUUGGACCCUAGGCUACUGGGCCGUUAUUUUUUUUUUUUUAAAUCCUUCCCAGCUAUGGCUUCCUUAGCCCUCCACUAUGGUAUUUCCCUAGUAGGAAUUUCGCUCUGCACAAACAGUCCUUCUGGUGGCUAUUUUGGUCAGUCUGGCUGGGCCAGAAGCCAGUAAAGCAGUUCCUAAGGCCAGGUUUUCCCAGUUGCCUAGCCUGGAAGAAUUCAGAGCUGGUGAGGGAAAAGCAAGCCACGGCUGGUUUUAAAGAACAAAACUGGACCUCCAGGGAAACUGGUGAAUGAAUCAGCCUGGAUGGAGGGUGGAGGGAGCAAGCUGGGCUGGGCUGUCCGGAAAACUGAACACCCAGCAAUCUCACACAGGAAGAUGACGUUCACGCCUUUCAUUGCAGAACUCUGAGCAGAGGCUACUAAUGCCACAGGCCAAAAGGAGAGAACAGAUCUCUCCAUCCCAACCCUGACCCCACCACUCAGCCAUGACCCUGGGAUGUACAUAGGACUUUAUCAAGAAGUUACCCUUCCAGGGGUUGGGGAUUUAGCUAAGUGGUAGAGCGCUUGCCUAGCAAAUGCAAGGCCCUGGGUUCGGUCCCCAGCUCCGAAAAAAAGAAAAA
rnacentral:sRNA from 1 species